GAUGAACGCUGGCGGCGUGCCUAAUACACGCAAGUCGAGCGAAUGGAUUAAGAGCUUGCUCUUAUGAAGUUAGCGGCGGACGGGUGAGUAACACGUGGGUAACCUGCCCAUAAGACUGGGAUAACUCCGGGAAACCGGGGCUAAUACCGGAUAACAUUUUGAACCGCAUGGUUCGAAAUUGAAAGGCGGCUUCGGCUGUCACUUAUGGAUGGACCCGCGUCGCAUUAGCUAGUUGGUGAGGUAACGGCUCACCAAGGCAACGAUGCGUAGCCGACCUGAGAGGGUGAUCGGCCACACUGGGACUGAGACAUGGCCCAGACUCCUACGGGAGGCAGCAGUAGGGAAUCUUCCGCAAUGGACGAAAGUCUGACGGAGCAACGCCGCGUGAGUGAUGAAGGCUUUCGGGUCGUAAAACUCUGUUGUUAGGGAAGAACAAGUGCUAGUUGAGUAAGCUGGCACCUUGACGGUACCUAACCAGAAAGCCACGGCUAACUACGUGCCAGCCGCCGCGGUAA
rnacentral:rRNA from 1 species